UACGGGGGGGGCAAGCGUUGUUCGGAAUUACUGGGCGUAAAGGGCUCGUAGGCGGCCAACUAAGUCCGACGUGAAAUCCCCAGGCUUAACCUGGGAACUGCGUCGGAUACUGGAUGGCUUGGAUUCGGGAGAGGAAUGCGGAAUUCCAGGUGUAGCGGUGAAAUGCGUAGAUAUCUGGAGGAACACCGGUGGCGAAGGCGGCAUUCUGGACCGAUAUUGACGCUGAGGAGCGAAAGCCAGGGGAGCAAACGGG
rnacentral:rRNA from 1 species